rnacentral:rRNA from 1 species
GACGAACGCUGGCGGCGUGCCUAAUACAUGCAAGUUGAGCGAUGAAGCUUGGUGCUUGCACCAAUUUGAAGAGCAGCGAACGGGUGAGUAACGCGUGGGUAAUCUGCCUUUGAGCGGGGGACAACAUUGGGAAACGAAUGCUAAUACCGCAUAACAACUUUAAACAUAAGUUUUAAGUUUGAAAGAUGCAAUUGCAUCACUCAAAGAUGAUCCCGCGUUGUAUUAGGUAGGUGGUGAGGUAAAGGCUCACCAAGGCGAAGAUACAUAGCCGAACUGAGAGGGUGAUCGGCCACAAUGGGACUGGGACACGGCCCAAACUCCUACGGGAGGCAGCAGUAGGGAAUCUUCGGCAAUGGGCGAAAGUCUGACCGAGGAACGCCGCGUGAGGGGAGAAGGUUUUCGGAUCGUAAAACUCUGUUGGUAGAGAAGAACGUUGGUGAGAGUGGAAAGCUCAUCAAGUGACGGUAACUACUCAGAAAGGGACGGCUAACUACGUG